ACGUUGAUAAUUUCGUUUCAAUUUCCGGUUGGUAACACUUUGGAGCUGUGUACAAUAAUUAUUUAUGCACAAUAAUUGGCAAUGUAGCUUUUCGACAUAUUCCAAUCUAUCUUGGAUCAAGAAGAAUAGUGACCGAGUGACAUAAUGCAAAAAAAUAUAGGAAAGAGGGGUAUUUUUUCAUUUAUCCCUUGGGUCUGUGUCUUCAAAAUGAAAAAAGAUCACACAAACCAAGCAUGAACUAAUCCAAAUACGAAAUUUAGAAUUUAAAAAUUAUCUCACAAUAUUACGAAAAGAUGCAUAGAAGUUGCAUAUGAGACAAAAAAUCGACUUCAAUAUUUCAAUGACAAUUGAGCGAUUAAUCAUGCCGAUUCUACGU